rnacentral:rRNA from 1 species
CGCUGGCGGCGUGCCUAACACAUGCAAGUCGAACGAGGGUUUGGAAAGCUUGCUUUCCGAAACCUAGUGGCGGACGGGUGAGUAACGCGUGAGUAACCUGCCUUUCAGAGGGGAAUAACGUUCUGAAAAGAACGCUAAUACCGCAUAACGUACAGUUACCGCAUGGUAGCAGUACCAAAGGAGCAAUCCGCUUUGAGAUGGCCUCGCGUCCGAUUAGCUAGUUGGUGAGGUAAUGGCCCACCAAGGCGACGAUCGGUAGCCGGACUGAGAGGUUGAACGGCCACAUUGGGACUGAGACACGGCCCAGACUCCUACGGGAGGCAGCAGUGGGGAAUAUUGCACAAUGGGGGAAACCCUGAUGCAGCGACGCCGCGUGGAGGAAGAAGGUCUUCGGAUUGUAAACUCCUGUUGUUGAGGAAGAUAAUGACGGUAUUCAACAAGGAAGUGACGGCUAACUACGUG